GUGCUCACUUCAGCACAUACACUAAAAUUGGAACGAUACAGAGAAGAUUAGCAUGGCCCCUGUGCAAGGAUGACAUGCUUUUAAAAUAAAAAAAAUUUUU
rnacentral:snRNA from 1 species